ACUUACGCAACAUAAGUAUAUAAAAUUGGAAUGAUACAGAGAAGAUUAGCAUGGCCCCGGCGCAAGGAUGGCGCACAAAUUCGCGAGGCAUUCCAUAUUUUU
rnacentral:snRNA from 1 species